rnacentral:rRNA from 2 species
UACGUAUGGUGCAAGCGUUAUCCGGAUUUACUGGGUGUAAAGGGAGCGUAGACGGAUGGGCAAGUCUGAAGUGAAAGCCCGGGGCUCAACCCCGGGACUGCUUUGGAAACUGUUCAUCUGGAGUGCUGGAGAGGUAAGUGGAAUUCCUAGUGUAGCGGUGAAAUGCGUAGAUAUUAGGAGGAACACCAGUGGCGAAGGCGGCUUACUGGACAGUAACUGACGUUGAGGCUCGAAAGCGUGGGGAGCAAACAGG